rnacentral:rRNA from 1 species
GAUGAACGCUGGCGGCGUGCCUAACACAUGCAAGUCGAGCGAACAGACGAGGAGCUUGUGCCUCUGACGUUAGCGGCGGACGGGUGAGUAACACGUGGAUAACCUACCUAUAAUACUGGGAUAACUACGGGAAACCGGAUACAAUAACGGAUAAUAUAUUGAACCGCAUGGUUCAAUAGUGAAAGACGGCUUUGCUGUCACUUAUAGAUGGAUCCGCGCCGCAUUAGCUAGUUGGUAAGGUAACGGCUUACCAAGGCAACGAUGCGUAGCCGACCUGAGAGGGUGAUCGGCCACACUGGAACUGAGACACGGUCCAGACUCCUACGGGAGGCAGCAGUAGGGAAUCUUCCGCAAUGGGCGAAAGCCUGACGCAGCCACGCCGCGUGGGUGAUGAAGGUCUUCGGAUCGUAAAGCUCUGUUAUUGGGGAAGAACAGAUGUGUAAGUAACUAUGGACGUCUUGACGGUACCUAAUGAGAAAGCAACGGCUAACUACGUG